ACUCCUACGGGAGGCAGCAGUGGGGAAUAUUGGACAAUGGGGGAAACCCUGAUCCAGCAAUGCCGCGUGAGUGAAGAAGGCCUUAGGGUUGUAAAGCUCUUUCGGCGGGGACGAUGGUGACGGUACCCGCAGAAGAAGCCCCGGCUAACUUCGUGCCAGCAGCCGCGGUAAU
rnacentral:rRNA from 1 species